CCUACGGGAGGCAGCAGGAGCGAAAAUUGCCCAAUCCCGACACGGGGAGGCAGUGACGAGAAAUAACAACUCUUGGUUAUUCUAAGAAGUGUAAUGAGGAUAAUUUAAAACCCUUACCGAAAGCAAUUGGAGGGCAAGUCUGGUGCCAGCAGCCGCGGUAAUUCCAGCUCCAAUAGCGUAUAUUAAAGUUGUUGCAGUUAAAAAGCUCGUAGUUGAAGUUCCGGCUGCUUGACCCUCGAGCUCUGUAGCCGAGGGCUCAGCAGUCAUCCGCUUGCAAACAUAUGUUCGCCUUUAACCGGGCGACUAUGUGAGUAAGCAUUUUACCUUGAGAAAAACNGAGUGUUCCAGGCAGGUUUGUCCGGAAUGCAUUAGCAUGGAAUAAUAGAAUAUGACUGAAGUCGAUUUAUGGUUUGAGGCUUUAGUAAUGAUUAAUAGGAACAGUCGGGGGCAUUGGUACUUGACAGUCAGAGGUGAAAUUCUAGGAUUUGUNAAGACUAACAAUAGAGAAGANAUUNUCAGAGUGUUNUAUUAUANAAGAAGAAAGUAAGGUAGUANAAGAAGAGUUANAGAGACGUUCCGUUAGUNUUACUUAUUAAUUA
rnacentral:rRNA from 1 species